UGAACGUCGGAUUAAUUGUAAGUUGAGGUGGGGCCCACACGUCAAGAUUUUUUUUGGGACAUGUGACAAAUUAUAUGAAUCACAUAUGUGAAGUUAAACACAACUCAAGAAGGACCCUUGGGCCAAAUCAAAGUGGAAGUCCUCCAAACGAAUAUUUUUAAGAAAACGUUUUCGGGUAACCUGACUUUGGGGGGCAAAAACGAUAUUAUAAGUUUGGAAUUUGGAAAAGUACCAAGAAAUAGAAGUUGUAGAUAAUUGAAUUAGCUUUCCAUCCAUAGGUCGUGGGUUCCCAGGUGACGUCGGUACAAGGAGAUAUGGACGUUUUAAGGCAGAAAGGUCAGUGGGCUAGGCCCAAUCCGAGCCCAACCGGGUUAGGCCCAUUACCCAUGUCCUUAUAAGUGCCAAUUUCGGCCUUCUUCAUCAUUUUAACACCAGGAACAACCAGAAAAUUCUGGAAAGAGAGAGAGGAGCUUUGGAGAAAAAAAAAAAAACAAUUUUGACCAAAAUCCGAGCCCCGAAUCCCGAAGCCCAUGAAGGGUAAAGUGUUGUACGCUACGUUGUCUUCAAUUUGAGCUAAAAAUCAACCAAAGAGGAGAGUGAUGACGUGGUGGCUGCCUACUUAAGAUUCGGAGUGAAACGGGAUUUGAGUUUUGGCGAACGUAAGACGCAUAUAAGGUACCGACGACAGGUUUGCUGAGCCGUCCGCUUAGGAUCUUAUUCUCCUAUUUUGGAGCGCUCUCUUAUCCAGAGCCCAUCUUUUGGUAUAGUCUGUCACUACUGUAUAUAUAUAUAUAUAUUCUCGUUCAUGGGUAUGGCGGGGCCCUGUCCCGUCAUAUGAUUCUGUCGGUCUGUUUAGAGGUCUGUGGACAUGUUUGUGGGUUAGGGUCUUUCUG